UACGUAGGGUGCGAGCGUUGUCCGGAAUUAUUGGGCGUAAAGAGCUCGUAGGCGGUUUGUCGCGUCGGCCGUGAAAACUUGGGGCUUAACCCCAAGCCUGCGGUCGAUACGGGCAGACUUGAGUUCGGCAGGGGAGACUGGAAUUCCUGGUGUAGCGGUGAAAUGCGCAGAUAUCAGGAGGAACACCGGCGGCGAAGGCGGCUUCCUGGACCGAUACUGACGCUGAGGAGCGAAAGCGUGGGGAGCGAACAGG
rnacentral:rRNA from 1 species